rnacentral:rRNA from 1 species
GUUAAGUUGCAGGGUAUAGACCCGAAACCCGGUGAUCUAGCCAUGGGCAGGUUGAAGGUUGGGUAACACUAACUGGAGGACCGAACCGACUAAUGUUGAAAAAUUAGCGGAUGACCUGUGGCUGGGGGUGAAAGGCCAAUCAAACCGGGAGAUAGCUGGUUCUCCCCGAAAGCUAUUUAGGUAGCGCCUCGUGAAUUCAUCUCCGGGGGUAGAGCACUGUUUCGGCUAGGGGGCCAUCCCGGCUUACCAACCCGAUGCAAACUGCGAAUACCGGAGAAUGUUAUCACGGGAGACACACGGCGGGUGCUAACGUCCGUCGUGAAGAGGGAAACAACCCAGACCGCCAGCUAAGGUCCCAAAGUCAUGGUUAAGUGGGAAACGAUGUGGGAAGGCCCAGACAGCCAGGAUGUUGGCUUAGAAGCAGCCAUCAUUUAAAGAAAGCGUAAUAGCUCACUGGUCGAGUCGGCCUGCGCGGAAGAUGUAACGGGGCUAAACCAUGCACCGAAGCUGCGGCAGCGAACGUAUCACCCAAGACAACUUUACGGAGUUGACGAUUGACGGAGCGAAGCGACGUCAAAGCGUUCAUUAAAGUCGAGUUGGCUUAGGGAUACGUUCGUUGGGUAGGGGAGCGUUCUGUAAGCCUGUGAAGGUGUGUCGUGAGGCAUGCUGGAGGUAUCAGAAGUGCGAAUGCUGACAUAAGUAACGAUAAAGCGGGUGAAAAGCCCGCUCGCCGGAAGACCAAGGGUUCCUGUCCAACGUUAAUCGGGGCAGGGUGAGUCGACCCCUAAGGCGAGGCCGAAAGGCGUAGUCGAUGGGAAACGGGUUAAUAUUCCCGUACUUGGUGUUACUGCGAAGGGGGGACGGAGAAGGCUAUGUUGGCCGGGCGACGGUUGUCCCGGUUUAAGCGUGUAGGUGUGUGUUCCAGGUAAAUCCGGUUCACUUUAACACUGAGGCGUGACGACGAGGCACUACGGUGCUGAAGCAACAAAUGCCCUGCUUCCAGGAAAA